GAUGAACGCUGGCGGCGUGCCUAAUACAUGCAAGUCGAGCGAACAGAUGAGGAGCUUGCUCCUCUGACGUUAGCGGCGGACGGGUGAGUAACACGUGGAUAACCUACCUAUAAGACUGGGAUAACUUCGGGAAACCGGAGCUAAUACCGGAUAAUAUAUUGAACCGCAUGGUUCAAUAGUGAAAGACGGUUUUGCUGUCACUUAUAGAUGGAUCCGCGCCGCAUUAGCUAGUUGGUAAGGUAACGGCUUACCAAGGCAACGAUGCGUAGCCGACCUGAGAGGGUGAUCGGCCACACUGGAACUGAGACACGGUCCAGACUCCUACGGGAGGCAGCAGUGGAAUCUUCCGCAAUGGGCGAAAGCCUGACGGAGCAACGCCGCGUGAGUGAUGAAGGUCUUCGGAUCGUAAAACUCUGUUAUUAGGGAAGAACAAAUGUGUAAGUAACUAUGCACGUCUUGACGGUACCUAAUCAGAAAGCCACGGCUAACUACGUG
rnacentral:rRNA from 1 species